GGAGCUUGCUCCCUGAAAUUAGCGGCGGACGGGUGAGUAACACGUGGGUAACCUGCCUGUAAGAUUGGGAUAACUCCGGGAAACCGGAGCUAAUACCGGAUAACAUUUUGAACCGCAUGGUUCAAAAUUGAAAGAUGGUUUCGGCUAUCACUUACAGAUGGACCCGCGGCGCAUUAGCUAGUUGGUGAGGUAACGGCUCACCAAGGCAACGAUGCGUAGCCGACCUGAGAGGGUGAUCGGCCACACUGGGACUGAGACACGGCCCAGACUCCUACGGGAGGCAGCAGUAGGGAAUCUUCCGCAAUGGACGAAAGUCUGACGGAGCAACGCCGCGUGAACGAUGAAGGCCUUCGGGUCGUAAAGUUCUGUUGUUAGGGAAGAACAAGUACCAGAGUAACUGCUGGUACCUUGACGGUACCUAACCAGAAAGCCACGGCUAACUACGUGCCAGCAGCCGCGGUAAUACGUAGGUGGCAAGCGUUGUCCGGAAUUAUUGGGCGUAAAGCGCGCGCAGGUGGUUUCUUAAGUCUGAUGUGAAAGCCCACGGCUCAACCGUGGAGGGUCAUUGGAAACUGGGGAACUUGAGUGCAGAAGAGGAAAGUGGAAUUCCAAGUGUAGCGGUGAAAUGCGUAGAGAUUUGGAGGAACACCAGUGGCGAANGCGACUUUCUGGUCUGUAACUGACACUGANGCGCGAAAGCGU
rnacentral:rRNA from 1 species